CUGGAGGAAAAUUCCUUCCCAACCUCAAAUAUGGUGACCAGCUGAACCCUGAACAUAUGGGCAAGAUUCACCAGCCAGAUACCCGGAAAGAAUUUUCUGUAGUAACUCAGAUCCCACCCCAUCUAGCUUCCCCUUUUCUGCAGUGUGGUGCUUUACAUCCCUUAAAGCACUGCCCAGAAGAGAAGGAUUAUUCCAUCUCCCAACCGGGGGAGAUUUGAGGCAGAGAGCCUGGGACCUGCCCAAAUCUGCAAAGGGAGGUGGUAUCAGAAGAGAUCAGGUUCUUGGGUGUUCCUGGCUCCCAAUCCUGUGAUUGGGCCAGUAAGUGACUCAGCAUAAGUCUCUGCCCUCCUCCCACUUGGAGAGCUGCAGCUGGGUGGGGCUUUGCACAGACAUCCUUCGCCACGCACCAUUGGGGAUGUUUUUAUUGAAGGGUUUGUGUGUGUGUAUGAAGUCAUGUGCCAACUGUUGUGAAACACGGGCCUCAUUAAACAUGCAGUCUUUUCCUUUGCAUUAUCGUGUGAAUUUCCUUCUGCAUGUUCCUGGCCAACACGGCCAGAUUUGCCUUUCCUACGUUCGUAACAUCCGCUUGCUGCCUGGCCUCCGUCCUGUCCUCGAAGGCCUCUUCUCUCAGCUGCCCUCCUCCGACUGGUCCAAUUUCAGUCAUGUUCAGACUGAUUCUGCUGGCAUGUCCUGACAGCACAGAGCCCCACUCAGCCUGCACACACUGUUCCUGUUCACAGCUGUGGCCACGCCCACGAGGAGCCAAUGAAACCGUCUCUGGAGGCAGCCUGGUGUCCUGUGCCUUGGGGCCGGGAGCUGAGACUCCCUUCCUCGCUCUGGCCUUCGUUCCUGCUGCUGUAGCGUGGAGAUCAUGUUCACCCAUGGCAGGGAAGUGGGGCGCCGGCUGUAAAGUGCUGUAUGUGACGUGUUGUCACCAGCCCUGCGACAAACCCCAGCCUGAGCCACAAGAGCAGGGGAAGUUGAGUGGCACUGAAACGGGGUUAAAUUCAGAGCAGUUGUGAGAGGUGUUGUAAGACUUGCACCCACGCAUUGGGCUGAGCGGCUGUGCGGUGCAUGCUCGGGAACUGGGGAAGGUGUGAGUGAAAGGAAGCGGGGGAGGGGCGGCUAGUGUUGAAUUUUGCACCUUUUACACGGUCUUAGGGUUGUUGUUUUUUGGGGGGGGGUGUUGGCAGUGUUCCUCUCUGGCCCCUCAUCUUGUGAGUUAUCUCAGCCCCCGCCUCCUCCCUGGGUGAUGUAGAGGGGACGUGGGUGGGAGUCUGGGGUGCUGCGACAUGCACAGAGAGAUGUGACUUGUCCCCUCUUGCAAUCCCUGUGGACUCAGCGGCUUGGGCCUGGUGUCUAAUCCCCACCUUGAUCCAGCCAUGGUGGCUCCGGGUUGCUCUGGGAGGCCGCUGGGCAUCAAGGGAAGGCUUCUGCCUCUGCCCCUUUGUGAGCCAGUGGAAGGCUGGCUGGGCAGGUUACUCCAGCCACACUCUCCAGGCACUACCCCCUCCCCGUGACAGGGGUGUGGAACAAACCAAACAAGCAAAGGUUACAGCAGCAGUUCAGUCAACAGCAACCUGCGAGGGAGAGAGGCCCCUCGGUGCUGAGCACCACCACCGCCUGCAGGAGCCCAGCCCAGGAGGAGGAGCUGGGAGGCUUUUUGCUCUGGAAUCAACAGAAGAGGCUACAAUCGGCAUGGAGGCAGCGAGUCGAGGGGACAGUGCAGCAGCGCUGUCCAACGACAAGAUCUUUGUGCUGACUUGCGUCUACCUGGUGGCCUUAUCUCUGAGCCUCGUCGGCAGCAGCUCGGUCCUUGCUGUAUCCACCCUCAGGAGGAGAUGCUUCCAUAGCCAGCUGCUCCCCCUCUUCCUGCUCUCCCUGGCAGACUUCCUGGCUGCUUUGGUGCUGAUCAUCACGGCUGCCAUCCAGCUCCUUCCAGCCCAACUCUUUGUCCUGGCUUACGAGUUCUGCCCCUACGGCCUGAUGCUGGCCAUGAUGUUCUAUGCUAUCUCCUUCCUGAUGGUCAUUGUCUAUGCCUACGAGGUGAACCGCACCAUCCGUGGCUGGAGAGUGACGCACAUGACAGCUCUGCAGGAGAGGCGCAGGUGCGCGGAGAGGGUGCAGCACUGCCUGCCCUACACCCUGGCCUGGCUGCUCCCCGCUCUCAUGUUCCUGGGCCAGCUGCUGCGGAGAGACGUCGCUCCCACGGCCGUUGAACCCAGCGUGCCCCGUACGGCCAACCGCUCCCGAGGGGCCUACAGCCUGUACUGCUCCAGCUGCCUGGUCCUCAUCCACCGCGCGCAGGACGUCUGCUAUACGUACACAGGAGGGAAGGACACUGGCCUGGAGAUGAAAAUCAUCUUCUUCCUGUACCUGCUGCUGGUGCUCACCUGCUGCACAUUUUUGUACUGCCGGGUGAAACUCUGGUGCAGGAGGAACAAUGAGGGGCGGUUGCUGAACAUGGAGAACGGCGGCUUCGCCCGCAGGAACAUCCAAAGCGUUUGCAAAAUUUCUCGCUCCUUCCAGCUGGUUUUCCUGAUCUGCUGGACGCCAGCCUUCCUGCUCAGCAUCCUCUCCUUCACCAGCAUCAAGCCCGCCUCCAUCUUUGCACUUCAUGUUGCCAUGGGUGCUGCAGAAUUUCAGACUGGGAAUGAAAAAUGACAUGGAGAAAUCACCAGAGGGAAGCUGGCAGCUGGCAAAGGACAUCUGAGAAGGCGUAGAUGCAUCCAUCAACACCUGAAGAACAAGGAAGCAGCAUUGGACUGGGGUGGAGACCCUGACUGAGAAAGGUUCAGCCAGUAAGACUGCUGGAACAUGUGAUUUCCACAAGUCCAAAUGCUCAUUUGCUUAUCUACCCCAUCCCCACCGCGCGGGGGGGGGGGGGAGGGAGGGAGAAGAGAAGACAUUAGAACCAGCUGCCGUUAAGUUUUAAGAAUGCCACACAGAAUGAGAUCUGAUGGGAGGGAAUGAACAGCAGGAGUUGAGUGGGACUCAGAAAAUACUGUUAUCACAACUCCCCUCUUUGGAACAAAUUAGAGGGAGAAGCCAAUGCGAUUCUAACUGGAAUAUCUACCAUCGGUGCAAGUCGCUCUCUAACAGAGCAGGAACAGAAGAGGGGUUGAAAAAAAACAACUAUUACCAUGACUAGGAACAGACAUCCAGACAGAGCUCUUAACAAAUAUUAUGGUAGGGCACGAACCCUGAAGAACUAAAUACUGGGGCUGUCGAUUAAUCGCAGUUAAUUCAUGCGAUUAACUCAAAAAAAUUAAUCAAGAUUAAAAAAAUUAAUCGUGAUUAAUCGCAGUUUUAAUUGCACUUUUAAACAGUAGAAUACCAAUUGAAAUGUAUUAAAUAUUUUUGGAUGCUUUUUUACAUUUUUAAAUAUAUUGAUUUCAAUUACAACACAGAAUACAAAGUGUACAGUGCUCACUUGAUAUAUUUUUGAUUACAAAUAAUUGCACUGUAAAAGUGAUAAAAGAAAUAGUAUUUUUCAGUUCACCUCAUACAAGUACUGUAGUGCGAGCUCUUUAUCGUGAAAGUGCAACUUACAAAUGUAGAUUCUUUUUUGUUACAUAACUGAACUCAAAAUCAAAACAAUGUAAAAUUUUAGAGCCUACAAGUCCACUCAGUCCUAAUUCUUGUUCAGCUAAUCACUAAAUGAAACAAGUUUGUUUACAUUUAUGGGAGAUAAUGCUGCCCACUUCUUAUUUACAAUGUCACCUGAAAGUGAGACACCUCAAAACAUCUCUUUCAUACGGCAUUUGUAUGGCACUUUUGUAGCCGGCAUUGCAAGGUAUUUACAUGCCAGACAUGCUAAACACGUGUAUGCCCCUUCAUGCUUCAGCCAUUAUUCCAGAGGACAUGCUUCCAUGCUGAUGAUACUUGAUAAAAAAAAAUAUGUUAAUUAAAUGAAAUUACAUUAGUGACUGAACUCCUUGGGGGAGAACUGUACGUCUCCUGCUCUGUUUUACCCACAUUCUGCCAUAUAUUUCAUGUUAAAGCAGUCUCGGAUGAUGACCCAGCACAUGUUCAUUUUAAGAACACUUUCACUGCAGAUUUGACAAAAUACAAAGGUACCAAUGUGAGAUUUACAAAGAUAGCUACAGUAUUUGAACCAAGGUUUAGGAAUCUGAAGUGCCUUCCAAAAUCUGAAAGGGACAAGGUGUAGAGCAUGCUUUCAAAAGUCCUAAAAGAGCAACACUCUGAUGCGAAAACUACAGAAACCAAACCACCAGAAAAAAAAAACAAAAACAAAAAAACACAACAACAGAAAACCUUCUGCUGGUGGCAUCUGACUCCGAUGAUGAAAAUGAACAUGCCUCAAUCCGCACCGCUUUGGAUUGUUAUCGAGCAGAACCCAUCAUCAGCAUGGACGCAUGUCCUCUGGAACGGUGGUUGAAGCAUGAAGGGACAUACGAAUCUUUGGCGCAUCUGGCACAUAAAUACCUUGCGAUGCCGGCUACAACAGUGCCAUGAGAAUGCCUGUUCUCACUUUCAGGUGACAGUGUAAACAAGAAGCGGGCAGCAUUAUCUCCUGCAAAUGUAAACAAACUUGUUUGUCUGAGUGAUUGGCUGAACAAGAAGUAGGACUAAGUGGACUUGUAAGAGCUAAAGUUUUACACUGUUUUGUUUUUUCGUGCAGCUUUUUUUGUACGUAGUUCUACAAUUGUAAGUUCAACUUUCAUGAUAAAGAGAUUGCACUACAGUACUUGUAUUAGGUGAACUGAAAAAUACCAUUUCUUUUGUUUUAUACAGUGCAAAUAUUUGUAAUCAAAAAUAAAUAUAAAGUGAGCACUGCACACUUUGUAUUCUGUGUUGUAAUUGAAAUCAGUAUGUUUGAAAAUGUAGAAAACAUUCAAAAAUAUUUAAAUAAAUGGUAUUCUAUUAUUAACAGUGCGAUUAAUCACAAUUAAUUUUUUAAUUGCUUGACAGCCCUACUAAAUACUAGAUACAGCAGGAAGAAAAGGAAGACUUGUGGCACCUUAGAGACUAACACAUUUAUUUGAGCAUAAGCUUUCGUGAGCUACAGCUCACUUCAUCGGAUGCAUACAGAUACAGCAGGGGAAGUUUUCAAAUUGUGUGCGGGACUUAAGUCCAUUGUUCCAAUCAAAGUUGAUGGGAACCCUGGGGUUAGCUUUCCAUUCGCUUCUGUAAACAUCUCCCUUGCCAUCUCUUACCUGGAUACAGGCUAAGAUAGCAGAAUAGGUGUCAGAGACCAAUCAGAGGGGAAGUUAAUUCUUGUGCAGGAGAAAAGGUUUGUUCCCAUUAUAGACAUUGUGCUGGGUGUCAGGACUGCAGAGCCAAGCACAGUACCAGUCAAACCUGCUAGAACCUGCCAAUUAGAAGACAAGUUUAUUCUUCUCUAAGAAGAAUUCAAAUGUCUAUGAUGGUGUUCAGGCCUCUGGCAUAGAGCCUGUCUUUGUGGAAUAAUCUAGAGGGCAGGGUGGAACCCAGCAUUCCGUCAUAUGCUGUUCAUCCCCCCCCAUAUUCCUUCACCACACAGAUCAACCACCCCCCUACUCACCAGGGGGAUAAUGAAACUCUGUGUGAGCUCCAGCAGGUGGCGCCUCAAAAGGGCACUUUGGACUUCAGAUGGGCGCUUCCUCUGAACCCCCUGCAGGUAGAGAGUGACGUUACAGCACAGGGGCGCUCAUGAAGAAACCAUUUAACAGCCAGCGGCUUUAGUAGGCAAGAGCUGAGGUUAUACAUGUGUGUGCAGUUCUCGGCAAAAGAUGGCAGCUGCUUGCAGCCAGUCAAGGGGCAGACUGGAAAAGAAUAAUUUUGUGCACUCUCCCUAGCUUGGCCCAGAAUUCAAGCUCCACUCACUAAAGUGAGAUGCCACUCACCUAGACAAGAUUGUUUAGAUCGCCUAAUAUGAUCAUCCCUCUCCUUUCUUGCUAACAAUGCUAACGCUAGGCUCCAGAGCUCAACCAAGUGAAAUAAUCUUCUGAGAAGAGCGUCCCACUAAUUUUAACCCACUCUCGGAUAGCCUGGACUAAACCAUGACUGGGGUCAGGGUGAAGUCAAAGACCUCGGGCCAAAGGGAAAACCAGUAUUAUUUCUCCUUUGGGCUUCAAUAGUUUAAUCCAGACUUUAGCACUGCUUUCCUGCAGCACUUUACAGGAUGGGGAAUAGGGAUAGGAAAUGCUCACCUUUAACAAUCUCUUUAUCAGGGUUUUGUCUUUGUGCAGAAAUGUCUUGUAAGAGGUGUAGAUUCCUAGAUUAAAAACACAGAAAUGCUUAAAAACAAAUCACACCCCACUGCCAGUUUCUGAAGGUCACAUCAUUGUGCAGUAAAGCCUUGUUCACAAGCAGGGGAGGUGAAUUUCCCAAUCUCAACUCUGGCUAGUUAGAGAAAAAGCUCUGACGACAGAACCCUCCUAAAAUGUCAAGAGUUGCUGCCACAACAGCACUCACAGUAGGAUUAACCUUAGAGACCUUCCAACUGCCCUAAGGCACCCCCCCACCCCCAAAAGAAAAUAUCACAGAAAAAGACAUGUAACCAGCAGCAUUAGCUCAGGACUAGACUUGAGUUGAAUAGCUCAGUGGUGUUAGAUGGCUGUAUCUACCUAUCUAGGUACUUACAGGUCCCUUCACCAUAUUCGAUAGCCUCCCAAAUACUCAAUAGAAGUGAUAGGUAAAUUUCUCUCCACUCCCAACCUGCAGAUUAAAUAGCCUGAUUAAUAUCUGAGAGGGAGAGGAUGUGUUGCGUGUCUGUGACAAGAACAUAUUGAAAGUCUCAGCAUGAGUUCUGAGCAUGGUGAGGCCUGUGGCCCCAUCUCCUGCAGAAAUGAAUUCAUAAGAAUAGCCAUACUGGGCCAGACCAAUGGUCCACCUAGCCCAGUAACCUGUCUCUGGCAGUGGCCAGUGCCAGCUGCUUCCAAGGGAAUGAACAGUACAGGGCAAUUUUGAGUGAUCCAUCUCCGGUCACAGAGUCUGGCAGUUGGAGAUUAGGAAUACAUGGGGUUGCAUCCCUGAUCAUCUUGGCUAAUAGUCAUUGAUGGACCUAUUCUCCAAGUCUAGACUCAGCUCCCCUGAAAGUUCUGUCUCUCCCCUCACAAGCCUCUCCUUAUUAGCCAACAGCUUCAUUUCCCAAAUGGAACAAAACUGUCCUGGGAGGUUAUGGCAGGAGAGCCAACCGCUCAGAUAGUUAGGGUCAGUUCCAGAGAGGGGACUACGAACUGGACUGUCAGUGGGGAGCCAGUGCAGAGCGUAGAGCACCAUCACGAUGUAUUCAUGUGAUCUUGCUAAGCGGGCAGGCUGUGCAUUUUUCAGAGCGAGAGGCUUUGUUAGUGUAUUAUGUAUAGAGAGUUUAUCACCUACGCAUGGAUCACUGUGACCAAGUCGGUGGCUGAAAGAAUGAGGCAGAGUCUUCUGGCUAGGUGCAGAUGGACAUGGGUGCUUUUUGCCAUUUUCAGGACUCGUUUGGCCUGAGGCAGGCCAAGCCAACCAGCACCCAUAGUGGGUUUAACCAGAUGUGACAAUUAAAGGAAACUUAUAAACAAGUCAAACAUUCCGAUGCGACACUCCCCAGCAUGUGUUUUUACACCUCUCUUCCCACCAACUGAUGUUUCCUUAGAAAUGUUAACUCACUGCAAAGGGGCUAGAGCCCCAGACUUCAUGCAAAUCUGUGAAGACUCAGGGUAAGUCUAUGCUGCAAAUAAAGACCCGUGGCAGCAAGUCUCUGAGCCCAAGUCAACUGACUCAGGCUUGUGCUAUGGGGCUAAAAAUAGCAGUGUAGACAUUCCCACUCAGGCUGGAGCCUGGGCUCUGAAACCCAUCAGCGGCAGGUCUCAGAGCCCAAGCGUCUACACUACUAUUUUUAGCCCCGAAGGGCAAGCCCCACAAGCUCAUGUCAGUUGACCUGGGCUCUGAGUCUCAUUGUUGCUGAUAUAGCUCCUGUGUCUGGGGCCUGGGGCCCUCUUAUUUCAUGCGAGUUGCAAUGCCUAGGCACAAUGGGGUGAGUUAAGGAAAGCAGAAGUGAAGCUUGAGUUGUAUCACUGCAAUGCAGAGAUAAGAGUAGACACGCUGAGGGAGGGGGAACAGACCGGUGAUUCAGUCCAGUCACAGACCCCUGAAGACAGAACAGCCCCGCAAAACACUGCUAAACCCCACCUUCUUCAGCCGGUCAGAGCUAUAAAGCUACACAUCGGGCUACACAAGUACUUCCCAACAACCACUGGGAGAAACCUCUAAUAAGGCUUCUACCAUCUCCAAGGCUUCUCUUUCUUCACACAGAGUUGCCUAAGGGGGUUUUCUAAAACCAGGUGGGGGGGCCGCCUUCCACAUUUUCUGUGAUUUUUUCCUGUAUCAGAAGCCUUUAGAUGGCCCAGUAAUAACAAUGGAGACCUCAGGAGAGCGCAAGUCAGGAAGGACACUCACAUAACCGUAAAGAAUUACUGCACAGCAGCAGAGGAGCUGGAAGAAGUUACAGCCCUGGAGUUGCUCUCAGUUGAGGCAGAGGACAAUGCUCACAACAAACACAUUGCUGCAAAGCCUUCAAACUCAGCAAAGAGGAAGGAUAAACGCAAUUAAACCAAAAUUGAAGUUAAAUGGAAUUACCCGGCUUAGUGUCCAGAGUUUUCAGUUUGGUUAGUUUCUUCACCUUGACUUGUUUGGGUAAGUCACCUGUGGAAAGACACACAGUGUCUAGUAACAGGUUAUAAAGGCUGCAGUUUUAGCCUCAUAGCCACAGCACAUACGUGGGAGGACUCACACUUUAGACCAUCCAUGCCAAACUUGCAAAACUUAAACCGUAUCCUCCUGUGAUAUGAAUACUAAGCUAGUGCUGGUAUCCCACCUGCUACAGGGAGCUUUCAGAUCUGCCUCUGCCAGCCCAUGGUGGUGACAGGAAAAAAGGUAAUAAGAGUCGUGUAGAGAAGAACUCCUCAGCCCAACCUACAGCAGCACUCUUUGUUUUUCAGAAAAUAAAAACGGUGUCUCUCUA